AAGUCGUAACAAGGUUUCCGUAGGUGAACCUGCGGAAGGAUCAUCAGUGAAAUUUUGAUCGUUUUACCAAAACAAAUUCCCGACAAACAGUCAACUUGUCAGGUCGAUUUUGAUUGUUUGCCCAGAGAUGUGGCCCCACCAAAAAUAAAAUUGUCUCUGGGUUUUGGCUGAACAUCAUUGUCGUGGGCCAAGAGCAUUUUUCGCGCGCGCGGGGACUUUUGUCUUUGCUGAAAAGAAAAAAGCAACCACUGAGAUAAAAAUUCAGGCCAAAGAAAUUUUACUCGAAAAACUCUGACCAAAGUGGGCGGCACUUUGGCUAGAAAACACAUACUCAACCGACCAACAACAAGAACAACUUUCGGCAACGGAUCUCUCGGCUCACC
rnacentral:misc_RNA from 1 species